rnacentral:rRNA from 1 species
AUUGAACGCUAGCGGGAUGCUUUACACAUGCAAGUCGAACGGCAGCGCGGACUUCGGUCUGGCGGCGAGUGGCGAACGGGUGAGUAAUGUAUCGGAACGUGCCCAGUAGCGGGGGAUAACUACGCGAAAGCGUAGCUAAUACCGCAUACGCCCUACGGGGGAAAGCAGGGGAUCGUAAGACCUUGCACUAUUGGAGCGGCCGAUAUCGGAUUAGCUAGUUGGUGAGGUAACGGCUCACCAAGGCGACGAUCCGUAGCUGGUUUGAGAGGACGACCAGCCACACUGGGACUGAGACACGGCCCAGACUCCUACGGGAGGCAGCAGUGGGGAAUUUUGGACAAUGGGGGCAACCCUGAUCCAGCUAUCCCGCGUGUGCGAUGAAGGCCUUCGGGUUGGAAAGCACUUUUGGCAGGAAAGAAACGUCGCGGGCUAAUACCCCGUGGAACUGACGGUACCUGCAGAAUAAGCACCGGCUAACUACG